AACUCAUUCAUUAACCAGCUUUU
rnacentral:miRNA from 1 species